AAGCCCGUGGCCUAAUGGAUAAGGCAUCUGAUUCUGAAUCAGGCGAUUGUGGGUUCGAGUCCCGCCGGGCGUG
rnacentral:tRNA from 1 species